UGGAGUAGACUAUAUUGAUGCUCCUACGCCAUACAUGAUGGGCCUUCACUCUGGCGUGGAUACUUACGGGCUUACGAUGGAUGGUGUAGUUAUAGUGGAUCUUGAGCAUAAUCGCAUCACUACAACAGAGGACAUUCCUCCCAUACCAGAGCCAGAAUAUAGUACCCUGCGUGGUGACAUUAUGAAGUUGUUGUAUCCAAAUGUUGUUGGAAUAGACCAAAUGAAGUCUACUCGAGCAAAUGUCUCCGAUCAGUUCCAACGAGGUGGCAACAGACCAUGGGGAGAAGAACACGACAUUCAAAUUAGAUUUACAUUCUUAAAGUUCUUUGCAUCAAUACUUGGUGGCUACCGCAAUUUCAUAGAAAAUACCGCAACACAGGUCUUCAACUCUCAGGCUUUCCUGAAGAAGCGCUCUCGGUCAACAAACCAGCCACCAGAUUCAAUGAUAAGUCAGUUUUUAGAAUCCCAGGGUUUCUUGGAUUAUUUGGAGAGA
rnacentral:misc_RNA from 1 species